GUGCUUCGACCGCCGUGCCUAAUGCAGAAGAACAUGGUGUUCGUCGAGUACCAGGCUGUCUACGAGGGUCCCAAACGCGUCAAAGGAUACGUGGACUUGAGUCACGUGCGACCGUCGCCAUCACCUGAGCUGAGUCGUUGCUUCAAAGCCGGAGACUCCGUCGACGCUUACUGGGAAAACGGCUGGCGUAAAGGGGUUGUUAGGGACAUACUUGAGAAUUCCAAAUAUGUUGUGGGCUUUCAUGGGAAUGGAGCAAAAGAAGAAGAAACUGAAAUUGAGCAGUGUAAUUUGAGGCUCCAUAGAGAAUGGGACGAUGGCUGCUGGGUCCCACCUCUCAUCAAACUGACCGAGUCAUCUAAGGAGAAGGAUGAUAAAUCCAGAAAGGUUAAAGUGAAGAUUGUGUUUGGGAAAAGACAGGCAAACGCCAAAUUUCAAAAGGAUGAUGAGGUGGAAGUUACUAGUGAUGGAGAAGGUUUUAAUGGUUCAUGGUUUAGUGCAGUUGUUGUUGAAUACAUUGGGAAUGACAAGUAUUUGGUGGAAUACCCGACCUUAAAGACAGAAGAUGGAAUGCCUCUCAGGGAGGAAGCAAAGGCACACCAUAUCAGACCAUGUCCACCUGAACUUUCAUGUGCUGCUAGUUUUCGCCUGCAUGAAGUUGUUGAUGCUUGGUAUAAUGACGGGUGGUGGGUUGGUGUGAUUUCCAGAGUACUCACUGGAUCAAAGUAUGCUGUCUAUUUCAGCCUAACAAAUGAGGAAUUAGAAUUUGAUCACUCUAACUUGAGGCAUCAUCAGGACUGGCACAAUGGGAAAUGGAUCAUUGCUUCUGGGGAAAAGUCUGGACAGUUGGUAACUAACUCUAACAAGUUGCUACAUAAGAUGAGUGUUGAGGAGAAAAGGCUCCAGGAAAAUUUCCAAAAGGAAUGAAGGUAGAGGUCAAAAGUGAUGAAUAUGGUUAUGAAGGCUCUUGGUUCUCUGCCGUCAUCAUUGACUCAUUAGGCAAUGAUAAAUAUUUGGUGGAAUAUCUGACUUUGAAAACAGAAGAUAUGGAUGCAUUUCUUAGGGAAGAGGUAUAUGCUUCAUGUAUAAGACCCCGGCCUCCUCAUGCUCGAUGUGCUUAUCAUUAUGAAUUGCUUGAAUAUGUUGAUGCUUGGUAUAAUGAUGGGUGGUGGAUUGGUCAAAUCAUUAAAGUUCUCACUGACUGGAGGUAUGCAGUCUACUUCAGGACCACAAAUGAGGUACUGGAAUUUGAACACAAUGAUCUGAGGCUUCAUCAAGAUUGGAUUAAUGGAAAAUGGGUUACUAUUUCCGGGGGACGCGAGCUGAAGAACAGAGAGCUUGCAACUAUUUCGAAUAAGUCAUAGACUGCAUCUGAACUUCAGUGCUUGCACCCUGGUGUAUGACACGAAGUUGUGUUAAUUCUGCAUUCUGUUUUUCCCUUUUUGAGUUGUUUGUUUGUCAUAUAUAGCAUCAACCUAGUGCGAUGAUGACAUCUUUUCUGUAUAGAAAUGAGAAUCUUGACUUAUCUGAUACUAUCGUGUAAAGAUGCUUAUAGCUUCUUUUUCUAGCCAAAAGAUGCUAAUGACUUAAGGUUUAUGUUUUAUCUCUUGAAUUGCUAAACUCUGGAUAGCAGCCUGCUCUUUUCUUUUCUUUUGUGAAGAUAAAAGCAAUUGUUGAAUAACAGCAAAAUCAUAGCCAUACCCGAAAGUAGAAGCUAAUUUUUCUGACUUUUGGACCGAAUGUCAAGCCUUUUGUCAAGGUCAACCCCAUGGGACUAAUUGCUCUUGCGGAGGUCCAGCCCAAAAAUAUCCUUUGGAAAUUGGACUUGGACAAGAUUUCAAUGAUUUAAUUGGAUCUUAGCAAGCAGAUCUAGCACAAUUCUUUCUCUGGCAAGUUCAAAUUAACUAGCAGCUCCGUUUUACACAACUUUUUUAUCCAUGCGGUUGCGUGAGUGAAUUGGUGGUAGAGAAGAUGGAAUCAAGGAAUAUGGCACUUUCAAGCAA